GUUGCGUAAAGUAUAAAAUAACCUAAGAGUAAAAGAAUAAAAAUUUAGAGGUUGCAAUAAUACCAAAAACUUAGGUCAUCUAUCAUUUACUUCAUACAAUGAGGUAUUUCAAAUACAGCAAAACCAUUUGAGUUUUUGGGGUCAAAUUAGGAGAUGCACUGUUGCUACGAGUAAUAUAUCGGCCGAAAAUUACGGCAGCAGGGGCCGGGUGUCGAUAAACACCCAUCUGUACAGUACAACGUUAAAUAUCAAACAAUAGGUGGCAGCGCGAAUGGUGCCGAAAAGCGUUUUAAGUUGUCUUGAUCAGGCUUUAAGCAGGCACUGUUGCGUUAAGUAAGUGCUUCUAUGGGAUUUUAGAUGACGGAAAUAUUUACCGCGGAUGACGAUUUAGGUCCCCUUGGAGGUGCGCUAAAGUCUUUGAUAUUAAUAGGGACCACUGUUGCGUUAGCCACAUACUCCGUCAACCAUGCUUGGAUUAAGUUAUUCACUAAUUUGCUCAAUAAUGUGUGGGCAAAAUCUCCUACGGCCAUUGUCGUCACAUUCAUCAUUGUCGCAGUAUGUGUGAUAGAAGACGCUGCUUGGUCGAUUUUCACGUUUCCAAAAGAUAACAUGUACCGAUGGCUGCUCCUUGGUGUGCUCGCGCUAUUGAAGGCUGCGAGCUUCCUGGCAAAAACCGGCAUUCUUCCUCGGCUGGUGCAACCACGCAAUUAUCUGCACAAUGUCGUGAAAAACGGAAAGAUUACUUUGAAUCAGAUCCAGUUUUGGGCGGGAGUGUGUGAAGCAGUGAUUAUCUUAGGAAGUAUGCUCAAUCAUCGGCACGACGGGAAAGCACCCAAUGCCGGAGAGGUUUUCUUUGCACUGGUGGUCGCGCUCGCUGUUCUGAGCAGGAUGUUUAUUCCUGGACCUAGCACCCCACAGAAGACGCCAGAGACGUUCAAAUCACUGCAAUCGCUUCGAAAACGGUACGCUUCGGUUGGACCAAGAAAAUGUUGUAUUCUAUGUGGCCACUGCAAAGUCGCACUUCCCGAAAAUUACGAUUUUAACGAUGUGGAUCCUUUUGAAGAAAUUGCAAAAGCUUAUUACAGUGACGCAAAAGAUGACUAGGAUUUAGGAGCAACCAAGUACUUAUCAGUUGCAUGAGUGAGUCAUGCUUUGUGCUGUUCCUCCUCUGGACCGCUUUAUCGUGCGGACCAUUGGCUAAACAUGGACCAAAUACUUAAGAAUUUUUAUAAUUUCGGUCACGCACUUGCUCGUCAUUGUGUCAUCGAAUUAGUGACCGUGGAGAUUAUGACGACGAUGGAUCAACAGCGAUACUGCUAUCACAUUCACAGUCGACAGGACGGUAAACGUGUGGAUGGUCAAAGAAGCCGCAUUAUUCUUUUUACCGGAUUCCCGGAGAAAGUUUGAUGCGUCUUUAAUGAUCAACCAUCAACACCUUCACCUUCCUCCCAUGCCGUGUAUGUUGCACUCAUCGUCGGUAUCCCCUUGUACAGAUUGCAGCUUAGCAACAAGUCAACAAACAACCAGAUUUACUACUGAAAUAUGACGUCAUAAUUGGCCUCCUGCACAGUAUAAAGGUGAACCUCUACUUUACUUGGUUAUGUGUUUGAAGUGGCCGGGUUACCAGUGUGGACUAUAGCUUCACGUGGAAUUUGCAGUUUGUUGUAAGGUAGAUUGGAUCGCUCAGUCGGCAAGUCAAAUAAUUAUUAUAUAAUAUUUUUUUCCAUUUCAUAAUCUUGUUCUUAAAAUCGUAGUUCUGUUACUUUUACCAUCUCAUUCGACAGACUGCCU